GAGCGCGUUGCGCAUUUCCUUGCCCGGUUUGAAAUAGGGGUUCGCCGGUGCGCGGGUUGCGCCCUUGCCGCGCUUC
rnacentral:tRNA from 1 species